AGAGCGAACGCUGGCGGCAGGCCUAACACAUGCAAGUCGAGCGCGUGUAGCAAUACACGAGCGGCAGACGGGAGAGUAACACGUGGGAACGUACCUUUCGGUUCGGAACAACCCAGGGAAACUUGGGCUAAUACCGGAUACGCCCGCAAGGGGAAAGAUUUAUCGCCGGAAGAUCGGCCCGCGUCUGAUUAGCUAGUUGGUGAGGUAAUGGCUCACCAAGGCGACGAUCAGUAGCUGGUCUGAGAGGAUGAUCAGCCACAUUGGGACUGAGACACGGCCCAAACUCCUACGGGAGGCAGCAGUGGGAAUAUUGGACAAUGGGCGCAAGCCUGAUCCAGCCAUGCCGCGUGAGUGAUGAAGGCCCUAGGGUUGUAAAGCUCUUUUGUGCGGGAAGAUAAUGACGGUAUCGCAAGAAUAAGCCCGGCUAACUUCGUGCCAGCAGCCGC
rnacentral:rRNA from 1 species